rnacentral:snRNA from 1 species
GACCCUCAGUAGGAGCUUA